rnacentral:piRNA from 1 species
UGUGAUUAAGUGUUACCGGCAUCAGUGA